CGGCAGCACGGGCUUCGGCCUGGUGGCGAGUGGCGAACGGGUGAGUAAUACAUCGGAACGUACCCAGAAGUGGGGGAUAACGUAGCGAAAGUUACGCUAAUACCGCAUACGUUCUACGGAAGAAAGUGGGGGAUCGCAAGACCUCAUGCUUUUGGAGCGGCCGAUGUCUGAUUAGCUAGUUGGUGAGGUAAAGGCUCACCAAGGCGACGAUCAGUAGCUGGUCUGAGAGGACGACCAGCCACACUGGAACUGAGACACGGUCCAGACUCCUACGGGAGGCAGCAGUGGGGAAUUUUGGACAAUGGGCGCAAGCCUGAUCCAGCAAUGCCGCGUGAGUGAAGAAGGCCUUCGGGUUGUAAAGCUCUUUUGUCAGGGAAGAAACGGUCUGAGCUAAUAUCUCUUGCUAAUGACGGUACCUGAAGAAUAAGCACCGGCUAACUACGUGCCAGCAGCCGCGGUAAUACGUAGGGUGCAAGCGUUAAUCGGAAUUACUGGGCGUAAAGCGUGCGCAGGCGGUUUUGUAAGUCUGACGUGAAAUCCCCGGGCUCAACCUGGGAAUUGCGUUGGAGACUGCAAGGCUGGAGUCUGGCAGAGGGGGGUAGAAUUCCACGUGUAGCAGUGAAAUGCGUAGAGAUGUGGAGGAACACCGAUGGCGAAGGCAGCCCCCUGGGUCAAGACUGACGCUCAUGCACGAAAGCGUGGGGAGCAAACAGGAUUAGAUACCCUGGUAGUCCACGCCCUAAACGAUGUCUACUAG
rnacentral:rRNA from 2 species